rnacentral:lncRNA from 1 species
GGCUGGAGAUUUCUCAUUCUCUGAGGAAUAUGUUGGGUACAGACACCAUGGGUCUCCUUGUUAUGCUAGAAACCGGCAAUUGUUUGCACGAAAGAAGCUACCACCCAGUAAUGAGGUGCAGGCGGAAUUAGGCUCAGUGAAGGCUUUUGUGU